ensembl:misc_RNA 7SK 7SK RNA
AGAUGUGAGGGGAAUCUGGCUGCAACAUCUGUCACCCCGUUGAUCGCCAGGGUUGAUUUGGCUGACCUGGCUGGCUAGGUUGGUGGCCCCUUCCUCCCUCACUGCUCCAUGUGCAUCCCUCCUGAAGCUGCCCACUCGGUGGAAGAGGGCUGUCUUUCCCGAAUAGAGAUGGACCUGUCUUGGGUUGAGGGUAUGCUAGUAGCUGCACUCUCCUGCUAGAACCUCCAAACAAGCUCUCAAUUUUUCUCUACCCUAUCAAGUAAAAAGAAAAGAAGGUGGGGGAGGAAAAAAUGACCACUGAGAGCUGUGGAUUUUGUAGU